rnacentral:rRNA from 1 species
UACGGGGGGGGCAAGCGUUGUUCGGAAUUACUGGGCGUAAAGGGCUCGUAGGUGGCCAACUAAGUCGGACGUGAAAUCCCUCAGCUUAACUGGGGAACUGCGUCCGAUACUGGAUGGCUUGAGUUCGGGAGAGGUGAGUGGAACUGCGAGUGUAGAGGUGAAAUUCGUAGAUAUUCGCAAGAACACCAGUGGCGAAGGCGGCUCACUGGCCCGAUACUGACGCUGAGGCACGAAAGCGUGGGGAGCAAACAGG